AAGAACCAAAGUUAUUUGAUAUUACUUUUAUUAUUUUUGUUUUCAGCAAUGUUAAUGUUUAUUUUACAUAAGAACAAACUUGAAAACAGGGCAAAGGGUUCUGUUAUGUUUGUCUGUUGUUAAAAUGCCUUUUGUUUGAGGAAACAAUGAACGACAGCGCUGCCGAUUGCUCGGAAGCUUUAGAUCCUCGAGUUCAGAUAGAGUUGGAACGUCUAAACACAGCCACUGACGAGAUAAACAGACUCGAGGUUGAGUUGGACGAGGCUCGGCUGGCGUUCCGGAGACUGCUUGCUGAAGGUCACUUACGUAUACAGCAGCUCACCAAGAAGUUGGGCACCAGUGUGCACAAAGCCCGGCCUUAUUAUGAAGCUAGAUUUCGAGCGAAUAUUACUUCCCAAGACCUGCAAGCUGCAACCAUCGCGUAUGACAAAGCGAACAGUGCUCAUGCAGCAGCCAGGGAGAUGGUGUAUCUUGCUGAGCAGGGCUUGGCCAGACUUGCAGAAGGCAAUACGGGCCUUACCCUCGACCCGGCCUGGCAGGAGAUGCUUAACCAUGCCACGCAUAGAGUUAAUCAGGCGGAGAGCGACCGCGCUCAGGCGACGGUGACGCAGCGCUCGAGGGCGGCCGCGCACCGCGCCGCCACCGCGCUCGUGCAGCAACUGCAGAACGGACUCAAGAGGCACAUCGCUAAAUCUAGACCCUACUUUGAAGAAAAAGCUCGUAUCAACACAGCUUUGGAAGCUCAGAAGGCAAGGAUACAGACCUUGGAGGAGCAGGUAGCGGAAGCUAAACAGCAGUACUCGUCAGCUCUCAGGAAUCUAGAGAGGAUCUCUGAUGAAAUACAUAAGCAUAGGUCUAGAAGACAGUCGGCUAGAAACGAAAUAGACCGUUCAACACUAACGGACACGGCCAGCGAUACAAACACGACCAGUAGUGACAAACUGGAAGAGCUAUGCGAGAGUAGCACGGACGCCAGUGUGCGCGAGUGGCUGCGCCGGGCCGCCGACGCGCAGCGGCCCCGGGGCCCUGACACAGACACCUGGACAGAGAUAGACCUGGAUUAUUCCAGUCCUGAAGAGGUGAGUUUCGAGAAGUGUUCCCUCCGCGGCCGCGACACUUCGGAAGCGUGGUCCCCGCCGUCGCCGGGCUCGUCGCGGGCGUCGGCCGCCGAGCCGCGCCGCAUCAUCCCGCGCCAGCCGCGCCCGCCGCGCCGCCAGAGCCUCGACGCGCUGCUGCACGACACCCAGGAGAAGGUCAAGGAGAUGUUCCAAGGUCAGUGCACAUGUUCAUCCCGCGCCAGCCGCGCCCGCCGCGCCGCCAGAGCCUCGACGCGCUGCUGCACGACACCCAGGAGAAGGUCAAGGAGAUGUUCCAAGGUCAGUGCACAUGUUCAUCCCGCGCCAGCCGCGCCCGCCGCGCCGCCAGAGCCUCGACGCGCUGCUGCACGACACCCAGGAGAAGGUCAAGGAGAUGUUCCAAGGUCAGUGCACAUGUUCAUCCCGCGCCAGCCGCGCCCGCCGCGCCGCCAGAGCCUCGACGCGCUGCUGCACGACACCCAGGAGAAGGUCAAGGAGAUGUUCCAAGGGUUAUCACUGUUCGGUGAACGUCGCGGGUCGGCGUCUGCCCCCCGCACCCCGCGCCGGGCGCCCUCGCCCCGCGCUGCGUCACACGCCAGCGACGAGCGAUACUCCGACACUGAUAGCCGCGCCAGCGUGGAGAUGCUAACAGACGAGCAGAUAGCGUCCCUCAUGCUGGACGCCCAACUAGAAGCCGUCUGCGAGCGUCUAGCGGGGGUCGUCCGUCAGCCACGCUCCCCACACUCGCCGCCCCACCGGUACUGAUGUGUAUGUCUGUUUAUACCUAGCUGUAUGUAACGUGCAGAGCGUCCGUCAUGCUGGACGCUCGUCUAGCGGGGGUCGUCCGUCAGCCACGCUCCCCACACUCGCCGCCCCACCGGUACUGAUGUGUAUGUCUGUUUAUACCUAGCUGUAUGUAACGUGCAGAGCGUCCGUCAUGCUGGACGCUCGUCUAGCGGGGGUCGUCCGUCAGCCACGCUCCCCACACUCGCCGCCCCACCGGUACUGAUGUGUCAUCGGUCCAGUGAAAAAUAAUAAUAGUUAAUACCAUUAAUAAUCACAUUUCUGUUGAAAACUUGCGCUUAAUUGAAACUAAAGUACAUCGAUGAAUGCAUUCCGUUAAACAAACAUUGUGGC
rnacentral:misc_RNA from 1 species